UACGUAGGGUGCGAGCGUUAAUCGGAAUUACUGGGCGUAAAGCGUGCGCAGGCGGCUAUUUAAGCUUGCUGUGAAAGCCCCCGGGCUUAACCUGGGAACUGCAGUGAGGACUGGAUGGCUGGAGUGUGGCAGAGGGGGGGUGGAAUUCCACGUGUAGCAGUGAAAUGCGUAGAGAUGUGGAGGAACACCGAUGGCGAAGGCAGCCCCCUGGGCUAACACUGACGCUCAGGCACGAAAGCGUGGGGAGCAAACAGG
rnacentral:rRNA from 1 species